UAUUCAAAUGAUGAGGAAAAUACUGCAACAAUAUGAUUCGUGUCUUUAACACGAUGCAUGAUUCGUAGUAUUUAAGUCUCUGAUGAUC